GGGAAAAAGAAAGUGAUGGUACCGAUAGAAGAAGCGACGGCUAAAUACGUGCCAGCAGCCGCGGUAAUACGUAUGUGCAAGCGUUAUCCGGACUUAUUGGGCGUAAAGCGCGUCUAGGCGGUUUGGUAAGUCUGAUGUGGAAAUGCGGGGCUCAACUCCGUAUUGCGUUGGAAACUGCCAGACUAGAGUACUGGAGAGGUGGGCGGAACUACAAGUGUAGAGGUGAAAUUCGUAGAUAUUUGUAGGAAUG
rnacentral:rRNA from 1 species